UUGCCAGAAUAAAUCACCCAAAAUAAUAUCUAUCUAUCUAUCAUUAUUGUUGGCUUUUCGCAAAAAUGCAUAAACAUGAAUAAGCGAAAAAAUCUGCGAAAUAAAACAGCCAAGUCAUUCAUAACAACAUAUUCACAUAAACUUCUAUAAGUACCAAAAAUGUGCUAUAGUAAAUAACGUUUACAAAUCUCCAACGUUUAUACAUCAACGGGUGUCUCUUUAAAAUAGGGUAACAUCACAUUACAUUCCCGAACGCUCGCGCCCGCGCUUAUACAUCCUUCUCUACUGGUGUCCGUUAAAUUAGUCAUAUUAUUCAACGCGGAACUUAAUGCGAAACACCUGCUUCAAUUGAGGGAAGUUCACCGGUGUUAUUUGAAGACCGGAGAUGCAGCAUUCCAGUGCGCGCGCGCUGAAAACGGUCCCUCUUUCCUUUAAAUGGUAGUCGAGACGUUUGCAUUGGCUGCUGAACCAAAUAAGGCUCGCAGUCCCUUACACAGCAAAUAUUCUGCUGAUUUUAUGGAGAUUAAUCAGUGUGUAAUGCAAUGGCUGUGGUUUACAUCAGCGAUGAGCUGCGCGGAACAAAGACAGCUUGCUUCCCAUUUUUACAACCCACUGCAGAAGAAAAGGAGGCGGGAGUCUACACCGGGGGUCUCCGUCGUUGUUAUGAUCGGUCAAGGCCGAGUGACAACUUCUUUUCUUUAAGCGAAAACAAGCCCUGCCUGACCCCUCCUCCCCCCGGGAUCGCAGUGCAUCCCACUACUACCAAACACACACUCAAACUAUUGUCAAUGCUGCACAACAGGAUGUGGUAACCGUGCGUUUUAAAGGGAGUGUGUUUUCAGCUGAAGUAAACCCAAGCAGGCAUGCGGUCGAGUUUUUUUUCUCUCCCUGUAAGUGAUAUUUGCCAAUACUUUUAUUUUUUUUUGACACAAAACCUCCAAGUACCUGGUAGUUGUGAAAUAGCCCACGCAAGAACGCAAGUUUGGCGCUCCGUUUCUAUUUACGACAGACGAAUCACAUGUAACGCACAGGACGCAUCGAGCAAAAAUAAUCAUGCAACUCACCUUCAGCCUAGUUUUUUUUUUUUCUUCCUUGUGAUCCAGCCCUCUUGUCCGUUUAGCAAAUAAUAGUUUUUCACAUGAUGACUUCCUUGCAGACUCCUAAAGCGCCAGGGCUGCAGGGAGAUCACGUUUGUGGUGCACUCUGUCAAGAUUUCUUUUUCUUUAGGAGGGAAAAAGCACGUUUAUGGUUGUAAAAGUGUUUGUAAAAUGUGUGUAAAUGGUUGUGCGGUGAUCUCUGCAGCGUGCGGCUCCGUCUCCUCUGUUUGUUACACUCGAAUGAAACGCCUACUCUCAAUCGCUACAUUGUUGACAUUCGCGCGCUGACGUCAUCCCAUCCCUCAUUCACAACAUAGCGCGCGCUGCGCAUUGCGUUGCUGCCUCCAGCGGCAAAUACGCGCGCAGCCGCGGUUCGCGAAUUGAGAGUAGCGGGGACAGCCGAUGACUGUUCCGUGGCCAGUUACACCAGGACAAGCUGAUCCUAAACGACGACUCAGAAUCAGACCCGCAUCUUGAGAAACUUUUAAGAACAAUACAAACAAAUUGAAAAUAAACGGCCGUUUGAAAUGCGUAGGACUGAACAGACUACUGACCUGUUAGUUAUGAACUCUCGUUUUCUACUAUGCUGUAAUUGAACUUUUUGCAGUAUCAAAUGUAUUUAUUAAAAAAAAUGUUUUAUAUUUG